rnacentral:lncRNA from 1 species
CUUGAAUUAUCAUGCACAAAUUUUCGUUCUCUGUUUAGAUUUUAAUUAAUAUAAUUAUACGAAAAUCUUAAAAAUAAUAUAAUUUCAAAAUCGAAAGUCCAAAGUCCAAAGUCCAUAGUCCAAAGUCCAAAGUCCAUAGUACAAAGUUCAAAGUCCAUAGUCCAAAGUCCAGUCCAGUGUUUACAAUAUGCCCUUGAGAGCCUGUUCACAGGCUAGGUUUGUAUGUACACACAUCAAUCAAAACAUUGGACAGAUAUGUACAAAGUUAAAACAUAUAGUUUAUUAAGAUAUGAUGGUGUGGAAACUUAUAAACAGAAGUCAUUAUAUAUGUUUGUGUAUUUUCGUAUAAUUAAGUAACCGUCCUCCAAUAGGGAUAUAGCUGAGAUGAAACACGAAGUUGAGACAAAGGAUUUGUGCACGAUGAGGUACAGUUCAACAUCAAACAAACGUUUUCUAUUUUGAAACUUUGAUCAAAGUUUGCCGGGCUUCCCUACCAUCAUAUCUUGACA